rnacentral:rRNA from 1 species
UACGGAGGGUGCAAGCGUUAAUCGGAAUUACUGGGCGUAAAGCGCACGUAGGUGGUUUACUAAGCCAGCUGUGAAAUCCCCGGGCUCAACCUGGGCACUGCAGUUGGAACUGGUAAGCUAGAGUAGGGUAGAGGGGUGUGGAAUUCCAGGUGUAGCGGUGAAAUGCGUAGAUAUCUGGAGGAACAUCAGUGGCGAAGGCGACACCCUGGACUCAUACUGACACUGAGGUGCAAAAGCGUGGGGAGCAAACAGG